AUCCCGGUGAAGAAUCUCCGACCAUAUGAAGUGUCGUAUGACACUGUAAAUGACAGCUGCUUCUCUCCACUGCAAGUGUCCUCCAUGCUGGGCCAUCCUUUGUGGUUUGGUUUGUGCUGAAGUCUCCAUUUGCACCUGGUUUGGUUUGGUUCAGCUGUGUGUGUGAUUUCUCUUUAAU